CCUACGGGCGGCAGCAGUGAGGAAUAUUGGUCAAUGGACGCAAGUCUGAACCAGCCAUGCCGCGUGCAGGAAGACGGCUCUAUGAGUUGUAAAUUGCUUUUGUACGGGGGUAAACGCAGAUACGCGUAUCUGUCUGAAAGUAUCGUACGAAUAAGGAUCGGCUAACUCCGUGCCAGCAGCCGCGGUAAUACGGAGGAUUCAAGCGUUAUCCGGAUUUAUUGGGUUUAAAGGGUGCGUAGGCGGUCGGAUAAGUUAGUGGUGAAAUCUUGAGGCUCAACUGUAGAAUUGCAUCUGAUACGGGUCGGCUAGAGAGUAGUAGCGGUAGGCGGAAUGUAUGGUGUAGCGGUGAAAUGCUUAGAGAUCACACAGAACACCGAUUGCGAAGGCAGCUUAC
rnacentral:rRNA from 1 species